rnacentral:rRNA from 1 species
AAUAGAUACCCGGGUAGUCCACGCCGUAAACGAUGAGUACUAGUUAUUGGAGGUAUUGACUCCUUCAGUGACGCAGCUAACGCAUUAAGUACUCCGCCUGGGAAGUACGGUCGCAAGACUAAAACUCAAACAAAUUGACGGGGGCCCGCACAAGCGGUGGAUUAUGUGGUUUAAUUCGAAGCAACGCGCAGAACCUUACCUAGGCUUGAACUCCUACGAAUCCGGGGUAAUGCCUGGAGUGUCCGCAAGGAAAUGUAGUGAGAGGUGCUGCAUGGCUGUCGUCAGCUCGUGUUGUGAAAUGUUGGGUUAAGUCUCGCAACGAGCGCAACCCCUAUCGUCUGUUGCCAGCAUUAAGUUGGGCACUCUGACGAGACUGCCUGGGUUAACCAGGAGGAAGGUGGGGAUGACGUCAAGUCCUCAUGGCCCUUAUGUCUAGGGCUACACACGUAAUACAAUGGCGCGUACAAAGGGAAGCGAACUCGCAAGGGGAAGCAAAUCUCAAAAAGCGCGCCUCAGUUCGGAUUGGAGUCUGC